rnacentral:rRNA from 1 species
CAAGUCGAGCGGAGACAGUGAGUAGCUUGCUAUGAACUGUUUUAGCGGCGGACGGGUGAGUAACGCGUGAGCAACCUUUCCCAGACAGGGGAAUAACACACCGAAAGGUGUACUAAUACCGCAUAAGACCACGGUUUCACAUGGUUCUGAGGUAAAAGAUUUAUCGGUUUGGGGUGGGCUCGCGUCCGAUUAGGUAGUUGGUGAGGUAACGGCCCACCAAGCCGACGAUCGGUAGCCGACCUGAGAGGGUGAACGGCCACACUGGAACUGAGACACGGUCCAGACUCC